GCGCCUGUAGCUCAGCCGGAUAGAGCAACGGCCUUCUAAGCCGUGGGCCGGGGGUUCGAAUCCCUCCAGGCGCGCCA
rnacentral:tRNA from 1 species